rnacentral:lncRNA from 1 species
CACACGCCCACCUCUCUCUCCAACUCCUCACCCCCGCCCCACUGCGAUCAAGGCAGACAAAAAGAGUAUGUUGGCCUUUAUUAACUUUAUUAAUUGUCGCAUGGUUCAUCAAGGAGAUUACCUACACCAACAUUCAUCAACAAGAAAAUACCACGUAUGGCACAAGUUGGUGUGUUAGCUUCCUUGGGUAAUGCUGGAAGGUCUUCACAACCUGGAUAAGUAAAGUUUGAAAGGUUAUAACCUUGACUAACAGAAUAAAAUGAAUUUUAAUGCACACACAUGUACAUACAUCUCUAUUAUUUUCUGCUCUUAUUUUUUAGAAUCAGAUACCCAACUUUUUCUUUAGAAUCAGAGUGAAGUCCAUAUACUGCUUGCUCACAAGUGCCGGACAAUGGAAAACUUUGACAUCCUCCUGCGUGAUCUUAAACACUUGUAGGUAAUCUCCUCCUUCAUGCUUUUGAACUCCUAAACAGUGCACUACAGCUCCAGCAUCCAUGAGCCGUCGUGCCCUGUACGUGCAAUGCAGCUCCCACAUCGAUGAGGCGGCGGGCUCCAUCUCCUGGAGAUAGACAAGCCACCGGUGAAGCCGCUGAAUCCUCUCAUCCCCACUGUAGGAUAGCACUGCCCCACUGUAGGAUUGUUCUGUGGCAACACAUGGGCAACCAUGCAUCUAUUGCUGAUUGGGAUGGUGUGCAUAAAACUACAGGAUGAUCUUUGGUUUGGCUAGAUAAGCACUUGCACGUAGCAUGCCUAUAUCACUAUUCCCAUAGAUCAAGGUAAUUCAAAUGCAUUAGACUGGUCCAAUGUGGGUGACAUGUACACUUAGUAUUAACAUUCGGAAUGGGCAGAAAUGACUGACUGAAAGUAGGAAUGUCCGGUGUGCAGUGAAGUUUAAGUCCUACACAGGAAGGAGGUGAAAGAAGAUAGUUUGGCGGUUGGGUACGUACCAUGCUUACCAGUCGGUCGUGGGAGAUUAUGUCGGACUUCCAACCAAGCAGCAGGCACACCACCUCCAGCCACCAGUCGCAGGUUGUCACAUAUAGCACUGUGUGAGCUCCUCAACCCUGCCCAUGCCCCCGGCAUCCGUGACCAACAGCCGCAUUGUCAUGUUCACCAAUGGCCUAAUCCCAAAUGGUAAAGUACCAAACAUUAUGAGGAGUGUCCUAAUCAACCCUCUAGAUACUUGACUGAUUUAAGAAUCUUCCCUAAUAUAACAUAUUUUGAAUUUCCUUUGCACAUGUUUGACUGAGAUAAAUUUUGAACUUCCUUUGCCCAUAGUAAUAUAUCUAAAUCAGCGCCCGCAGAGAAUGUAAUUUUCAUCAUAGGUAAUCUACAAUGGAGUAUCAUUUUCAGAAAAUAAACAACAUACUGACCAAAAUAUAUUAAGAAAUAAACUGUACAAGAUCAUUUUAUUGGAAAGAGCCUUUCCAAUCAUUUUAUUGGUUCAUCUGUCUCUAGUAAGGCACAAGACAACUUCCCUCUAUUUGUAGUCUGUAGAAAUGAUCCCACUGUAAGGUUGAGCAAGCAAACAAGUCAAAUAUGGCUGGAAAUGUUUUAGAAAAACAUUUUAGUAAACAUGCCUGACCUGUAAAAAGCCUUGGGUCUUUCUCGGUUUUGUAGUGCAAAGCUCAACAACUGAAACUAAAAAUACAUGCUGGGUCGAGACAAGCUGAAACAUAGCUUAAAGGACAUCACAUGAAACAUCAGUCUAUCCUACGCUAUUUGGGUGUGGUGGUGUGGGGAGAUGGAGUUCAUUGUCACUGCUCACCGAAGGUUGAUAAUAUCACUGGAAUUUCAAUUGUGUGAAGCACAUAAGCUAAUUUCAACUCUUUGUCAAAAGCCAUAAUGAAAGCAACCACAUCACAUCCCAUGAGAUAGAAGAUUAGAGAACUUACCAUCAAGAUGGAAACCGGGACUGGUUCCCCUUCGUCGGAUGUUGGUAGAUGACGUCAAAAUCGGCGCAAGUCAUACUAUGCCUCUGAUGCGUCGGACAUUACCAAACGAACAACGGUGGCUUGGCCAGUUCACGAACCCAUGGCGUGCACUCCUCGUUGACUCUCGUUCCUUCGUCGACAUCUCAGGUCAGGCAUCUACAACAGUCCCCCAUUGCCGCUGAGCACGGCCUCCAACGUCACAACACCAAAGUUGCAAAUUGUCUUGAUUGGACUACAGCACAUAAAACAUGAUUGAAAUGGCAGAUUAUAAAUAUGCAAGAGAAAAUUAUAUUGCGCUAUCGGAUAUAUCAGACAAUAUCUAUCUUUUUCAUGUGGCACACAACAAAGAAUGCUAGAUUUUGAUCGAUGCCUGGUAAAUAGAUGAUCGCGAUCCAAAAUCUGUACUUGUUCAACUAUCAUUUUAUAAGCACCUCCUGUAAAAAGUCUCCAAUAGAAAGUAAUGUUACUGAUGGUUAGGUAAACAUGAACCACAUAAAAAUCAAGGUUGUACUAUUACUGAUAGAUAGCUAACAUGAACCAUAAAGAACUUUAAUAUAACCUGGUUUAAUCAGCCGUAUCUCCUUGAACAUUGAGCAGCUCCACACGAGUGCCUCCCCUCCUUCACCUUGAAAGAUAGAUGCCAGUAAAGCGGACCGAUGUGCAUCGUAUCAUAUUGUUCUAGUCAUAUAUAGGACCAAUAUAGAUUAUUACAUAAAAAAUGGCAUAACUCAAUCAGACCAAUUUAUGCAUAGAUGGGGGUAAAUUAAUUGGAUGAUCAAGAAACGUGACCGAGAGAUUCAAUCACUAAUCGUUCCCCUACACAUAGAAGCAAUUGAUCUACUAAUGCAUGGCAGAAUGUAUAUCUUGCCCGAAAUCAACAUAGGAAGCUCCUUUUCUUUCACCAAACAUGAAACAUCAACUGUACCCUACCUCCAUACAGAACAAGACCAAGAUCAACACAUCCCUGCAAUUGGUCUUACUAUCAUUGUGUAAGCAAUGGGUAACUAAAAUCUGAGAAAAAAGAUUAAGAGAUAGUUAGAUCAACGGAUAAUUCAUAGAUGAGGUCAUGAGGCUACUAACCAAAUGCUCAUGUAAACCUGUAAAUGGCCUUGAUAAGGUAUAAUGAAAGUUCCGGCACUCAAUUACAUGUUGCAGAUACACAUAACUCACACUUGAAUGACCGCUAAAAUGAGAAACAAAUAUCUCACAUAAAAAUAUCAAUAGGACACCCCUCAUGUGCCCAUACCAGCACACCAGUAAUAAGGGCCUAUGCAAACCUGGGACUUGGGAAAAUUUCCACAAUUUCACUUCACACUUCCCGAUAAGAACAAUGAAAACAUCGAAGAAACUGACUCCAAUGCCGAAACUAUUUCUGGGUCAAUACAAAAAGGAAGAAAAGACUUGGGAAAAACAUUAGUGAUUCGCAAAAGGAGAUGUGGAAACAGUAGCACACCUUUUUUGUCACACUGCAGUGUGUAGCAAACUGCUUUGAUAAAAAAAUGUCAAUCCCUUGCCAUGAAUCCCCGACUUGAUCCCCGUAGUAUUUGUUCCCUGUGAUCGCCAAAAAGAAAAAAUAAUUGUCCAUGCGUUGCUGCAGGGAAAAAAACACAAUUGAUGUGUAUUUUCUACCAGGAAAUUCCUUUUAAAACAACGGCAAGACAUGCUAAAUGCAUACUUUUUGAUCAAGUAAAUCAAUUGUACAUAAAAAUAAUCAUCAAAUGUGUGCACUUCCCCUGUUCUGCCCAAACUGCCUUAAAUAUUUAAUGCAUCACCCCAAAAUUGAAACAAAAAACAAGGUCAUUUUUUUACUCAUAUCAAUGCUGUGUAAAUCUUAAACAACCAGUGAUUCGAAAUGGCCAUUAACUUUUGGUUAAAUAUAAGUUUUUCCUACAGACGUUUGUGGUACUAAUAACGUUGACAGAUUUACUGCAAUGCAUGUAGUUCUUAUAAGAAGAAGAUACAUGUUCAUCCUAGUUAAUAGGUAAAAAUAAGCAAAAAACAAUUCUAGCGAUGCACUGCUAAUAAAUAUUACAAAAUCAAUAGUUGAUAAUAACGUGCUUAAAUGGCCGUCUAAAACAUGAGGCUCCUCAUGUCAGGACUAUAUAUUUUGCUUAUCUCAGUUCAUAAUUAACAUGUAACCUAAGAGCUAGGAAGGGAAGUGAAAAGAUGCGGUCGGUUCAUAGUCCAUACCAAUAAAAGAAAGCAACUGCAGUUUCUCACAGCUCUUCUCCACUACGAACCUCAAAUCAUAUACCUGAAUCUUGUUGCCCUAUUUCUGCAGAAUGCCGAUUAUACAAAUAAAAGUGAGAAAGCACGCAAAUAAGUGCAUAUAGUAAUCACACUACAAGAAAAUAAGAUUCAACACUAACAGACCUUAGGUGUGGGAAUAGCUUGAAUGCAUAGUAUAAACAUCAAGUGUACGAUCUCAGCAGGAGAAACCAAAACUCCACUGGAAAUCUAAGAGUCUCAAGUACAAACAGAAUACAUACCAUCCCUGUCGUGGUCACAUAGAAUGAAUAUCUGCUUCAAAACCCUCACACUGCGGAUGGUAGAAUACCUUCUGCACCUGUGAUUCCUAAACAAUCUGUUAUAGUAAACCUACUCUACUCGAGCAUAGUAUCUAGAACUCUAACGAACAAUCAAAAUUACAAAAAAUAUGCACUGUUGGAAUAUUACGUGAGGCUGAGCAACUGUUAGAAUAUCCAGUGUCAUUGUGAACAAUCAACAAAUUGACAUAAUAAAGUGUUACGAAUGUAAAUUGAUACAAUGGGGGUCUUUUUGAUCUCAGUCUGGCGAAGUGCAAAGCACUGAAAUCUCAAUGCAGGUCACAAUCCCAUGGAACGAUUGCAUGAUGGGUGCCAUCGUCUUCUGAAGGAUGUUCUGUUGGUCGUCCCUCAGGUCUGGCUUGCACACCAAUCACAGGCGCCUUCAACUGUAAUAAAAGAAUCAUUGGACAGCAGAGAUGAAGACCGGCAACCCUGGGAAUCAC